UACGAGGGGUGCAAGCGUUGCUCGGAAUUAUUGGGCGUAAAGGGUAGGUAGGUGGUCUCAUUUGUCUAGGGUGAAAGCCUUGAGCUUAACUCAAGAAGUGCCCCGGAAACGGUGAGACUAGAGUCCUGGAGAGGGUCGUGGAAUUCCCGGUGUAGCGGUGAAAUGCGUAGAGAUCGGGAGGAACACCAGCGGCGAAGGCGGCGACCUGGACAGGCACUGACACUCAACUACGAAAGCGUGGGGAGCAAACAGG
rnacentral:rRNA from 1 species